rnacentral:rRNA from 1 species
UUCGACGCAACGCGAAGAACCUUACCUGGGCUUGACAUCCCGAGAAUUCCCUGGAAACAGGGAAGUGCCUUUCGGGGAACUCGGAGACAGGUGCUGCAUGGCUGUCGUCAGCUCGUGUCGUGAGAUGUUGGGUUAAGUCCCGCAACGAGCGCAACCCUUGUCUUUAAUUGCCAUCAUUCAGUUGGGCACUUUAAAGAGACUGCCGGUGUUAAACCGGAGGAAGGUGGGAUGACGUCAAGUCCUCAUGGCCUUUAUGCUUAGGGCUACACACGUGCUACAAUGGGUGGUACAAAGAGAAGCCAACUCGCGAGAGCGCGCCAAUCUCAAAAAGCCAUCCUCAGUUCGGAUUGGAGUCUGCAACUCGACUCCAUGAAGUUGGAAUCGCUAGUAAUCGCGGAUCAGCAUGCCGCGGUCGAAUACGUUCCCGGGCCUU